GAAAACUAUCCGACACAUUUGAGCCACCUUUGCCCCUUUUCCAAGUGCCCGCACCUUUGUGUUGUUCCUCGCCUGACGAAACCUCUGGCCUCACUUUAGCCUGCCAGAGAUUUGCAGGAAUCCAAACACACACAACCUGACGUGAACCUUCACCCCCGCACGUCUUAACAUCUAUCAGUCGUGAUGUUCCUUCGGCGCCCUCGCAUCAUUCCGGCCGACUCCCGUUCCAACGAAACGAUUCGUUCGGUGUUGCCUCCAACCCGCGCACCAAAUUUCAAACGGCCGUGCCGUCAUGACACGUUGACACCGGCGUCUCCGGUAAAUAGCUGGGCUCACCUCUGUGAGUGUAUUAUUAAUAGAGAAGGACACAAAGUUAAUCUGAUGAAGUGAGAUGGAGAGGCAAGAAGAGGGAGAGAGGGCGAGCGAGCCGACUGCAUUAGAGCACGUGUGAUUUAUUCGCCCCUCUAGGUGAAGGAGACCCCAUUUGUAUUCAUUUGCCUUUUUAUUUUUAUCCCGGAUUCAUCUGGCCUUCACGUGCCUGUCGCCACCACGCUAAUAUUAUUUUGGCCAUGUGCGGCUCCAUAACAGGCUCUUAUAAAAAUUGCCCCAGUGCGGCUGCAAGAUGCAAGAGGGAGGGGUGCUGGGUUUAUUUUAUAUCAUCCAUCUGAUUUGAUUCUUUUUUUUUUUUUUUUUUUACGGGAAGAUUAAAAGUCUCCCAGGGACAAGACGGUGAGAAAGGUGGAGAUAAUGAUGCCUGUCCUCCUAUAGAAACGGCGAGACGGGGGCACGCAAACACAAACGCGCAGGCACAUUUUUUUUUUUUUUUUUUUAUACAAGCCUGCCGCACACUCGACAGACGGCCUGGCCUUUUUUUUUUUUUUUCUUUCCUUUUAAGGCUGUCAAGGUGAGCCAGUGGUGCUCCAAGCCAAGGGCAAAGACAACAGUGACCACCAAGCUCCUUUUUGCAGAACAAUUAGAUGGAAGUGGAGGCUGACCGCAGUUGUGUUCCUCAAAUAGAGGAAAAAAAAAAAAAAAACCUGGACUGAAAUAAUGACAAAUAAAAUAAAUAAAUAAUUCUUAAAUUAAUUUUUACUGCACUCUUGAUGCUAAGCUAUGCUACAAAAAUGGAAGUGAAUAAUAAAUAAAGGAAAUAAUAACAAUUAAUAGGUAAAUAAAUAAAUAAACAAGUAAAUAUUCUUAGAUUCAUAUUUGCUGCACUCUUGAUGCUAAGCUACGCAAAAAAAAAAAUGGCGGCGCGAUUAAUCUCCAGUAAGAGAGCAAAAGCACAUAUUUCCCUCAAAGGCAAAUGAUUCUUUUCCUAACAGGAUGUGAGCAUGUUUUUUAAUGAACCCUCUUUCUCUCUCUCUCUCUCUCUCAGGGUUCUGCUCGCCAUCCGUCCACCCGAGUGCACCCAGCUGCGCAGCAAUUACAGCCAGGAGAACAUCCCACGCCCUGAAACCAUCGGGAAUCUGCGAUGGCUCAUUCCGUAAGACUGCAGUCUGACCCACUUUGUGCAAAUGUAUUCGGAUCAACUCUAUUUGAUGCGAGAGGUUUUCGAGCCCCAAUUUCUCCAGCGGAGGCGCCAUUGGUAUGCAGGCGCCGUCUGAUCCAAUGCAGAAGCCCAGUUAGGGGGAAGAAGAAAGGAGGAAACGUCCCUGGAUGGAUUUCCAAAGACGCCCACGGACACUUUUGGUGGCAACUUGACGGCGGCGCGGAGAUGGCGCAAAAGCGCCGAGGUGGCGGCUUUACCUUCUUUGAGCAGACGAGAGUGGAUGAGGAGGAUGAGGAAGCAGCAGAUCGCCGCUCCGACGUCGGUGACGUAUGGAGACAAGUGAGCGCCAUUUGCCAACAAGCACUUUGCCCUAAGAAGAUUGUGCAAAUCUAUCUAAUCAAAAGACACAAGUAAUUCCCGGAAGGAGCUUAAUGGACACGCUGCACUGAAAUGCCGAAACAACCUGCCAAGACGACCCCUUCAGCCCUUUUCUCUUGUUCUCCGUGGAAGCUGCUUCUGUUCCGGCUGGGAACCGACUGGACUGACAAAAUCAAGCUAUUGCUGUCCCAUACCACCCUACGAAAAGUUAAAAAUCCUAUUGUUACAGGAAAUGGUGAAAAAAUGGGAUACGAGUGACGGCCAGCUCAAAACAAAGUCAGUCAUAUUGUGAUUUGCGGCACUAAAUAUGACAAGUUGGUUCCUCCUUGUGGCACUUUGACAUUUUUUAAUAUACUUUGAGUUCACGUCGCUCCGUUUUGUUAUACUGAAGGAUUUUUGCGAGCCUUUUUUUUUUUUUAUUCUUUAUGAUUUAUUCAUGAAGUCACUGGCAUUGAAUGAAAAACCUUUAGCGAGUACUUAGUGAAUUAAAUGUGAGUUUUUUGUAAUUUAAUAUAAUGGAGUUGUAAUUUGAGCUUUGACCAGCAGGACCGGAUGGAGUGCCAGGAAGGCUGUGGAAGUGGCCGCCAGCUUGCUGCUGUUUUGUUGUAUUUCUUUUCUACAAUGAUUAUUAAGCUUCUUCUGUUGUUAAAAGUGUACUCCCUAUGCCAGAUAACAGCUGUUGAUUUUUUCAAAAACAUCCGUGAGGUAAAAAUGAAU